UCGAACGAGAACCCUUGGAUUCGUCUGGGGGGGAGAGUGGCGAACUGGUGAGUAACACGUGGGUGACCUGCCCCGAAGACGGGGAUAACCGUUGGAAACGACGGCUAAUACCCGAUAUACUCGGUGAUUAGGUUCAUCGAGUAAAGGCUCCGGUGCUUCGGGAUGGGCCUGCGGCCUAUCAGCUAGUUGGUGGGGUAAUGGCCCACCAAGGCGAAGACGGGUAGGGGGCGUGAGAGCGCGGCCCCCCACACUGGCACUGAGAUACGGGCCAGACUUCUACGGAAGGCAGCAGUCGGGGAUAUUGCACAAUCGGCGAAAGCCGGAUGCAGCGACGCCGCGUGGGCGAUGAAGGCCUUCGGGUUGUAAAGCCCUUUUAUGGGGGAAGAGACAAGGACGGUACCCCAAGAAUAAGCGUCGGCUAACUACGUGCCAGCAGCCGCGGUAAAACGUAGGACGCAAGCGUUAUCCGGAUUUACUGGGCGUAAAGAGCGUUGAGGCGGUUCCGUAAGUUGGGCGUGAAAGCCCCGGGCUUAACCCGGGGAGGUCGUUCAAUACUGCGGGACUUGAGGGCAGCAGAGGGAGGCGGAAUUCCCGGUGUAGCGGUGAAAUGCGUAGAUAUCGGGAGGAACACCAGUGGCGAAGGCGGCCUCCUGGGCUGUUUCUGACGCUGAAGGCGAAAGCUAGGGGAGCGGACGGGAUUAGAAACCCCGGUAGUCCUAGCCGUAAACGAUGGAUGCUGGGUGUGGGGGGUAUAGAUCCCCUCCGUGCCGAAGCUAACGCGUUAAGCAUCCCGCCUGGGGAUUACGGCCGCAAGGCUUAAACUCAAACGAAUUGACGGGGGCCCGCACAAGCAGCGGAGCGUGUGGUUUAAUUCGAUGCUACACGAAGAACCUUACCUGGGCUUGACAUGUAGGUAGUAGUGAAGCGAGAGCGGAACGACCCUUCGGGGAGCCUACACAGGCGCUGCAUGGCUGUCGUCCGUUCGUGCCGUGAGGUGUCGGGUUAAGUCCCGUAACGAACGCAACCCUUGCCCUUAGUUACAUGUGUCUAAGGGGACUGCCCGGGACAACUGGGAGGAAGGUGGGGAUGACGUCAAGUCAGCAUGGCCUUUAUGUCCAGGGCUACACACACGCUACAAUG
rnacentral:rRNA from 1 species